AGCGAACGCUGGCGGCAGGCUUAACACAUGCAAGUCGAGCGCCGUAGCAAUACGGAGCGGCAGACGGGAGAGUAACGCGUGGGAACGUGCCCUUUGGUUCGGAACAACCCAGGGAAACUUGGGCUAAUACCGGAUAAGCCCUUACGGGGAAAGAUUUAUCGCCGAAGGAUCGGCCCGCGUCUGAUUAGCUAGUUGGUGGGGUAACGGCCCACCAAGGCGACGAUCAGUAGCUGGUCUGAGAGGAUGAUCAGCCUCACUGGGACUGAGACACGGCCCAGACUCCUACGGGAGGCAGCAGUGGGGAAUAUUGGACAAUGGGCGCAAGCCUGAUCCAGCCAUGCCGCGUGGGUGAUGAAGGCCCUAGGGUUGUAAAGCCCUUUCGGCGGGGAAGAUAAUGACGGUACCCGCAGAAGAAGCCCCGGCUAACUUCGUGCCAGCAGCCGCAGUAAAAC
rnacentral:rRNA from 1 species